rnacentral:lncRNA from 1 species
GGGCUCUGCCGGGGGGCUGCGGCGGGGACGCCGCCUUCAGGAUCCCGCUCACCCAGCAGAGCAGCUCCUCCCGUGGGCAACAAGUGCAGGGGACGGCCAGAGAAGGGGGGCGCGGGCGCGGGGGGCAGGCUCGCCUGGGAAAUCAGAGAGAAUGGACCGGGCUGUUAAAGCGUGAGGUCUGCAAAGAAAAGUGGGAGCAGGAGGGAAAUACCGGGAAGGACCAGAUGGGCAGGGCAAAACUUGGAAGUGGACUUCGCUCAUUGUACAAUACCUAGAUCCUGCAUGGAUCACCACCCUGCCUAACACCCAUAGGUCUUCAAAGCCUCACGCAGUGCUCUCUAGUUUAGAAGCACAGCAGAUUGCUGUCCUUUGCACAUCUGGGCUCAAAGAACCUCACACUAAUGAGAUACACAGCUCAUUUCAUUCCUAACAGGUGAGUGAAGUCAAUUUGCCUACGGCGUUUAGAGUUGAGCUAAAUAUGUUUGCAAAUAUUUUCAGGCUUCCAAUGUCUGGUCUGUCUAGCUAAGCUUGUCAUUGUAGAAAGACAGUGGUAUAUAAAUUCACAUGUAUUCAAAGCACAACCUUAUACCUUCACCUGGGACCUUUUGAGUAUCAUAUGUUAAAUGCUACCUAGGGAACCUGCAUUUGUCGUGUCUGCUGUGAAAUGCACAGGGUGGGUGAAUUUUAUCUCCAUGUCAUUGAGUUUUUAUUAGCUUACCAGUGAGUACAGAGGCCCUGAGAGCAUGCAAUCCAUCACAAAGAUCGCAGACCAGUAGUCAGAAGCAGCAAUCAAAGUGGGUACACUUUGAGGAGCUGGAAUGGUUAAAGCAGAGAGGUUAAAGUAUCAAUAUGAACCUGACUUUCCUUCAGAGAGUUUCCACUACUUGGGCAUUGGCAGCUUGAAUCUGUUCUUCCCAAGAAGGGUGAAUCAAAUGUAAAUUCUGGGAAAUAAUAACAAAGACAAAUAAACCCAGACUUCCAAAUCUACUCCAUUAUUGGCUAGAUGACUGCACUAAGCCAUAAAUCCAAGACCUUUCAACCUAAACAUUCCUCAUUUCUUUUCACGUUUUUGACUUGACAUGGAUUUUGGUAAGUGUGUGGGUCACCAGGCAUUACAUAGA